GGAGGAGUUUCGGGAACUAAAUAAUGAACUCCUUCCUGCCAGGGAUUCUGAGUUCCCCUCUCCCCACAGCUGCUGAGGAUGGUGGUGCCCAGUGUGAGACUGAAGGCUGGAAGCCAAGGUGUGAUCCUCAAGCUAGAAAACACUAAAGGCUGGAGAAACCAAGAAUCUCAGUUAACUGAUCCUGAUUCUGCUACUUCCUGGCUAUGCAAUGUGGAAAACACCGAACUUCUAAGCUUCAGAGUGAAGUUGUGUCUUCUGGCUGCUUUGACGUGCAACAGACCUGGUCUGUAGCCACUGGCCAUGUGUUCUGGGGCUCAUCCAAAUGCACACUGGAUCGUGAAGUUGAAGACUGAAUAUGAAAAUAAGAAUGUGAACUCUCUCAUUCAUAGUGUUUAUGUUGAUUACACUCUUUGGGACAUAUUGGGUUAAAUAAGACAUUAUUGAAGUUAAUUUUGCCCCUUUUUACUUCUGAACAUGUGGUUCCCAAAAAGCUGUAAUUGUAAUAUGUGGCUUGUGUUAUACUUUUAUUAGCCAGAGCUGUUCCAGGUGGCACAAUCAGGAAGGACUGAGGUGUUUUGGAAUUUUCUCUCUGAAGCAGUCAGAGAGGAUUGUCCUACUUAAGGGUUGAGCAAAACCCACCAGGUCUGCACUUGGAGGCUGCUCACUUUCUCCCAGUCUGCCUGAGAGGUUAAUGCCUCGCUGCAUCUGUUUUAUAACUUGUCUGGUUGGCUUUCCUAACUUUGGGGAAAGAGAAAAGGAUGGAAAGAUGGAGCAAAGAGGAUCUCAUUAGGUGGUGAGAUGAGGGAUUAGACAUGUAAGCACAUCAGGUUUUGCUCUUAGAUUUGAGUUCGAAUUUCAUUUUAGCCACUGGUUUGCUGUUCAGCUCUGGGUCUUUCUCAACCCCAGGUUUCUCAUGUGCCAAGAGAAAUGAGUUCCUCCAGGGGUUUCCUUACCUGUUUGUUCUGUGCCAGAAAACAGGGAGAGUGCAUUGGGAGCACCCAGUAGGCCUCAGGGAAUGACAUGUUUUGCUAUUGCUGUUACUGCUGUGUGUGGUGUUUGCUCUUCAACCCUGGGCUCCUCUAUUCUCUCUGUCUCUCUGUCUCUCUCUGUCUCUCUCUCUCUCUCCCUCCCUCCCUCUCACUCCACAGGCAUUCUGCCCAACUUUUCUCCCUGAUUCAGCUCUGAGAAAUGCCAAGGCAAGCGUUCCCGUGAAGCUGCUUGUCAGCAAACACCCACUCGCGUCUCGCUCUUCUCCAUGUGCCAGAGAUGGGCCUGGAUUCCACUCCAGGCCCUGGACCCUGCCAGCUCCUGAGCCUGACACACACAACUGCUGCACAGAUACUUCAGGGCUGUGCUCCCAAUCUGCGACAUUAAAGAUUAGAGGUUCCCUGACAAUGCAACCAUCCUAGAGAAAAAAGCCCUCUAACCAUCUACAGGGUUGCAGGAAUUUUCCUGGAUUCAGCUUCAAAGAUACAAAAGCCUGAGCUUCAAACAUUUGGUUGGCUCAUGGCCUGCCCUUUUUCACUUUCUCUCCUCUGCCUUUAGUUCCAAUUGCGCUUUUAUUAAAUUAUUCUUGUUGCUUGCCUCCUGUCGGUAUCAAAUAUUAGGAUGGUGGCAGGAGAAUGAAUGCUUUUCCAGCCUUAACAGCACCAUAGAUUUUCAUCAAAGGAACUUAUUAAGUGCCUGUCUGGGCACGGCACUGUAUGAGGCUCUGCAGAAAGGAAGUUAAACAGACAUGAGUGGCCUCUUGGGGUUUGUACACAAUGGUGGCCACGGUUACUCCCUGGUAGGGUUAUCUUGAUCACCAAUAGAUCUUUGAGAGCAGCAAGGUCCUGUCAGAUCCCAAGUUCAGAGGGCUGUGGUUUAAAGAACUCAGAUGCAAGCCUGGGAUAGGACCUCGUGCCAUCAGAAGAGGUCCUCUUCAGGGGAGUGGCAGUGUGGCCUGGUGGUCAAGCACAUACCUUUUGGAAUUCAGCAGCUCUAAGUUUGCAUCUGGGCUCUUCCACUUAGGAUCCUCUUGGGUAUCUUCUUGGGCCUCAGUUUCUCAUCUGUUAACUAAGGUCACAAUGCCAACCAUACAGCUCAUUGUGAGAAAUGUAAUGUCUUCUAUUUUUUAAUCUGUUCUUGUGUACCAGGUACCAUGCAAAGUGCUCUGCAGGGGUUUAUGAAUUUAAUCCUCAUAAUAAUUCCAUGAAGCAGAAAUUGCUCUUAUCCUCAUUUUACAGAUAAGGGAACUGAGGCUUAGAGAUGAUGAGUAAUAUGUCCAAGGUGUAGAAGAGGGGACUUAAAUCCCAGCAAUCUAUCCCUGGAGGUAGGGGCACACACAGAGCUGAGAGUCCUCCUCUGGGAAGCGGGCAGGGGAAGGGGCACACAGGAAGUGUGUGUGAGCCAAGACUUCAGCUCUGGAGCAUGUGCCACUGUCCCAUCGGACUUCACUUACAAGACAUAAAUUCCAGGAUAAAAUUAGAGAAUUUCAAUA